rnacentral:rRNA from 1 species
AGCUCAAAUUUGAAAUCUGGCUGGUUUACUAGUCCGAGUUGUAAUUUGUAGAAGAUGCUUCGGGUGAGGCUCUGGUCUAAGUUCCUUGGAACAGGACGUCAUAGAGGGUGAGAAUCCCGUAUGUGACUGGCCGCCUUCGCCUAUGUGAAGCUCUUUCGAC